GACAGAGGGUGCAAACGUUGUUCGGAAUUACUGGGCGUAAAGCGCGUGUAGGCGGCCCUGCAAGUCGGAUGUGAAAUCCCACGGCUCAACCGUGGAAGUGCAUUCGAAACUGCAGGGCUAGAGUCCUGGAGAGGAAGGUGGAAUGCUUGGUGUAGAGGUGAAAUUCGUAGAUAUCAAGCGGAACACCGGUGGCGAAAGCGGCCACCUGGACUGCACCUGACGCUGAAACGCGAAAGCUAGGGGAGCGAACGGG
rnacentral:rRNA from 1 species